rnacentral:tRNA from 1 species
AGGGGUAUAGCUCAAAGAUAGAGCUCUUAUCUAAGAUAUAGGAGGCCUUGAGUUCAAUCCUCAUCACCUUCU